GAUGAACGCUAGCGGCAGGCUUAACACAUGCAAGUCGAGGGGUAUAGUAGCAAUACUAGAGACCGGCGCACGGGUGCGUAACGCGUAUGCAAUCUACCUUUUACAGAGGGAUAGCCCAGAGAAAUUUGGAUUAAUACCUCAUAGCAUUGCGAAAUGGCAUCAUUUUGCAAUUAAAGUCACAACGGUAAAAGAUGAGCAUGCGUCCCAUUAGCUAGUUGGUAAGGUAACGGCUUACCAAGGCAACGAUGGGUAGGGGUCCUGAGAGGGAGAUCCCCCACACUGGUACUGAGACACGGACCAGACUCCUACGGGAGGCAGCAGUGAGGAAUAUUGGACAAUGGGCGCAAGCCUGAUCCAGCCAUGCCGCGUGCAGGAUGACGGUCCUAUGGAUUGUAAACUGCUUUUGUACGAGAAGAAACACUCCGACGUGUCGGAGCUUGACGGUAUCGUAAGCAUAAGGAUCGGCUAACUCCGUGCCAGCAG
rnacentral:rRNA from 1 species